rnacentral:rRNA from 1 species
UACGAAGGGGGCUAGCGUUGCUCGGAAUCACUGGGCAUAAAGCACACGUAGGCGGCUUGCUAAGUCAGGGGUGAAAUCCUGGAGCUCAACUCCAGAACUGCCUUUGAUACUGGCGACCUUGAGUCCGGGAGAGGUGAGUGGAACUGCGAGUGUAGAGGUGAAAUUCGUAGAUAUUCGCAAGAACACCAGUGGCGAAGGCGGCUCACUGGCCCGGUACUGACGCUGAGGUGCGAAAGCGUGGGGAGCAAACAGG